rnacentral:rRNA from 1 species
AUCGCUAGUAAUCGCGGAUCAGCAUGCCGCGGUGAAUACGUUCCCAGGCCUUGUACACACCGCCCGUCACACCAUGGGAGUUGGAUUCACCCGAAGGCGCUGCGCUAACCGCAAGGAGGCAGGCGACCACGGUGGGUUUAGCGACUGGGGUGAAGUCGUAACAAGGUAGCCGUAGGGGAACCUGCGGCUGGAUCACCUCCUUU